CAGCAGCCGCGGGAAUGCGAAGGGGGCUAGCGUUGUUCGGAAUUACUGGGCGUAAAGCGCACGUAGGCGGAUAUUUAAGUCAGGGGUGAAAUCCCAGAGCUCAACUCUGGGACUGCCUUUGAUACUGGGUAUCUUGAGUAUGGAAGAGGUUAGUGGAAUUGCGAGUGUAGAGGUGAAAUUCGUAGAUAUUCGCAGGAACACCAGUGGCGAAGGCGGCUAACUGGUCCAUAACUGACGCUGAGGUGCGAAAGCGUGGGGAGCAAACAGGAUUAGAUACCCCUGUAGUCCCUGUCUCUUAUAA
rnacentral:rRNA from 1 species